rnacentral:sRNA from 1 species
AUCAGUUUCACACACGCUUACUACUUCAAACAAUUCUCACAAGAAUCAUCAACCACCAAAACAUUCAUUCAUAUACUUAAAGCUGUACCACGGUCAGAUAAUGGUUUUAAAACAAUGGAUGGAAUGAUACAGUACGUCUGGAGAAAAUAAUUACAACAUAGAGAAUAAAGUUAGAAAGAGUGAACAGUGAGGAAUCUGAUGAAUCUACCAAGAUGCGCUCUCCCCGGCCUCUGUGACCUUCCACAAAUCAAUACGUAACAGUCGC